UUUGCGCACAUGAAGCAACGUCAUUACACAAUUUAGAACUCAUGGUUUUAACCGAACGAUGAGAAAUAGCAACAACAUUUUUGAUCUUAAAUAUCCAAGGACGCCGAAAAUUAAAUAAAUCCAAACAAUAACGGAUUCUUCAAAACGGAACGCAGGAACCAAGUGCUUAGAAGAGAUGUCUCGAUGCGACACAGUCUGUUACAUCUAAGCGUCCAAAAUUCUCAGACAAGGACUAUGAUGCGAAUAAAAGAUUGUGGAAGUUCCAGGAAUCUUGGAAAGUUGGAUGGACUGUGGACCUGGGACACGCCACCUCGCAGGCCACAAGAUAUCGUCAGCUACUGACUAGAAAUGAUAUUGACUGUGUACUAAACUAUAACCGUGAACUGAGAGCAGUUUAAUAAGACUAUUUGAUAUUGGACUGAAUGAAAUCAUUGUGUCACUGUGUGAUACUGUUGAUAAGUGAUUUGUUAUGUCUACUGCAUGUCACAUCAGACUACUUGUUGUAUUAUGUGUAUGUAAAUCAAAUGAAUAAGUAAAAUAAAGAUGAAAACUUG